GUGAAUCAUCAAAUUUUUGAACGCAAAUUGCACUCUCUGGUAUUCCGGAGAGUAUGCCUGUUUGAGGGUCAGUUUAAAUAAAAAUCUGUCUGUUUGCUGCCUUUCGUGGUGACGCACCGGAUGUGGGUCGUCUUUCCUUCGUUUAAGUGACCUAAAUUUUUUCUUGAUUUUUUCGAACGUAUUUAAAUUAUUUUACGUACGUUUUCGAUAUCGAAUACUAGUUGCGGCCAUCC
rnacentral:misc_RNA from 1 species